GAUGAACGCUGGCGGCAUGCUUAACACAUGCCAGUCGAACGGGAAGUGGUGUUUCCAGUGGCGAACGGGUGAGUAACGCGUAAGAACCUGCCCUUGGGAGGGGAACAACAACUGGAAACGGUUGCUAAUACCCCGUAGGCUGAGGAGCAAAAGGAGAAAUCCGCCCAAGGAGGGGCUCGCGUCUGAUUAGCUAGUUGGUGAGGUAAUAGCUUACCAAGGCGAUGAUCAGUAGCUGGUCCGAGAGGAUGAUCAGCCACACUGGGACUGAGACACGGCCCAGACUCCUGCGGGAGGCAGCAGUGGGGAAUUUUCCGCAAUGGGCGGCAGCCUGACGGAGCAAUGCCGCGUGGAGGUGGAAGGCCUACGGGUCGUCAGCUUCUUUUCUCGGAGAAGAAACAAUGACGGUAUCUGAGGAAUAAGCAUCGGCUAACUCUGUG
rnacentral:rRNA from 1 species